AUGCGGUAGAUGAGCGUUCUGUAAGCCUGUGAAGGUGAGUUGAGAAGCUUGCUGGAGGUAUCAGAAGUGCGAAUGCUGACAUGAGUAACGAUAAUGGGUGUGAAAAACACCCACGCCGAAAGACCAAGGUUUCCUGCGCAACGUUAAUCGACGCAGGGUUAGUCGGUCCCUAAGGCGAGGCUGAAAAGCGUAGUCGAUGGAAAACAGGUUAAUAUUCCUGUACUUCUGGUUAUUGCGAUGGAGGGACGGAGAAGGCUAGGCCAGCACGGCGUUGGUUG
rnacentral:rRNA from 1 species